rnacentral:rRNA from 1 species
GACGAACGCUGGCGGCGUGCCUAACACAUGCAAGUCGAGCGGGGUUGAAGCGAGAGGUAACUCGAGCUUCUACCUAGCGGCGGACGGGUGAGUAACGCGUGGGCAACCUGCCUCAAGGUUUGGGAUAACAGCCCGAAAGGGCUGCUAAUACCGGAUAUGCCUAUGGCCUCGCAUGGGGCUAUGAGCAAAGGGGAAACCCGCCUUGAGAUGGGCCCGCGUCCCAUCAGCUAGUUGGUGAGGUAACAGCUCACCAAGGCGACGACGGGUAGCCGGCCUGAGAGGGUGACCGGCCACACUGGGACUGAGACACGGCCCAGACUCCUACGGGGGCAGCAGUGGGGGAUCUUGCACAAUGGGCGAAAGCCUGAUGCAGCGACGCCGCGUGAGCGAAGAAGGCCUUCGGGUUGUAAAGCUCUGUCUGGAGGGACGAACAAAAUGACGGUACCUCCGGAGGAAGCCACGGCUAACUACGUGCCAGCAGCCGCGGUAAGCUCGUCUCUAC